CCUGGCGGCCAUAGCGCCGUGGAACCACCUGAUCCCAUGCCGAACUCAGAAGUGAAACGCGGUAGCGCCGAUGGUAGUGUGGCAUUCGCCA
rnacentral:rRNA from 1 species